UCACGUCAAUGUUGCCUCGUGAGUUGGAUUGAGCAGCAUGAGGUGGAAGAGCAUCUGUAGCUGUUUUCUUGCCGUUGGAUAGGUGGACAACCUGAAGAAGAGUUAAAAUUUCUUCCCUUCUUGUUGUCCACCUAUCCAACGGCAAGAAAACAGCUACAGAUGCUCUUCCACCUCAUGCUGCUCAAUCCAACUCACGAGGCAACAUUGACGUGGUUAAUUACAAAGAUCCUGAAAAUCGCUCCGAUAUGGCCAGGCUAAAAUUCUUAAAUCGAGAUGGAGCCAUCCCAACACCUGACUUUGUAAUGAAACAGAUGAAGCGUCAGCUGCUACAACACCAGCACCCAAAAAAACACCUAGAAAAAGAGCAUCUAAACCAAAGGUGCUGCAAAGACCGCCGACAUUACAGCCGCAAUUUAUUGCGCCGAUGUCAUGCCUUGCGCCAAGUUCUUUUUGCCAACCAUACAUUCCACCACAUUUCUACAAUCGUUUUCCCAACUACCGAUGCAAAUUCCGCACCUACAAAUGCCCAACAUGUUGUCAUACCAUCAGCCUACAACAUCUGUGAAAAAGAAGAAGCCAGAAAAAGAGUACACCUUCCGCAAAUGCAAUCAACCAAUAAAGGAAGGCCACGGACAAUAUAAAGGGGAACGAUACUGUUCGUAUGAACCUGAUGCACCUUCCUAUAACAUUUGGUUAGAGCAGCGGCGUAAAGCGGACACAAAAGGAACAAAAUAAGUUCAUGUAAUUUCUUAUGUAAAACGGGUAACAUAUGCCCUUACUAACACACCAUUACGCCUUUUCUUUUUCCUUUCUCUUUCCCCCUCUUUUCCCCCUUUUCUCCAGUCUUUUAUGCCCCUUCCUUCCUUACAGUUGGCCAGCGCGGUUUCAGGUGGUGAAUGCAGCAUUUUUUCGUAUCCACGACUCGCUGUGGAGUUCUACAAGAGUGUUGUGUAACGCUGUUGGUCCAUUACCCAACGUUCUUGACUUCAGCAGUGAUAUGACCUUGAAGUCACAGGCAGCACUUAAAAUCGAAUGCAAACAUGCGUCGUGACAUCCAUAGGUAUAUAUCCUACGCAGGAAAUACGACUCUGGUUUGGGUUUAAAUGCAAAUAAAAAGUUAACGGUUUGUGGAUAGUUCCAAAGCCUAACGGGAGUUGCGAGCGUUCCUGUUCCGCAGAAAAAAUGUUUGGCGACCCAAUGGAGAUCUGCAGGAGCCAUAUUUUGAUU